GACGAACGCUGGCGGCGUGCUUAACACAUGCAAGUCGAACGAAGAGCGACGGAAGCUUGCUUCUAUCAAUCUUAGUGGCGAACGGGUGAGUAACGCGUAAUCAACCUGCCCUUCAGAGGGGGACAACAGUUGGAAACGACUGCUAAUACCGCAUACGAUCAAAUCUCGGCAUCGAGGAUGGAUGAAAGGUGGCCUCUACAUGUAAGCUAUCACUGAAGGAGGGGAUUGCGUCUGAUUAGCUAGUUGGAGGGGUAACGGCCCACCAAGGCGAUGAUCAGUAGCCGGUCUGAGAGGAUGAACGGCCACAUUGGGACUGAGACACGGCCCAGACUCCUACGGGAGGCAGCAGUGGGGAAUCUUCCGCAAUGGACGAAAGUCUGACGGAGCAACGCCGCGUGAGUGAUGACGGCCUUCGGGUUGUAAAGCUCUGUUAAUCGGGACGAAAGGCCUUCUUGCGAAUAGUGAGAAGGAUUGACGGUACCGGAAUAGAAAGCCACGGCUAACUACGUG
rnacentral:rRNA from 1 species